rnacentral:rRNA from 1 species
GAUGAACGCUGGCGGCGUGCCUAAUACAUGCAAGUCGAGCGAGCAGACGAGGAGCUUGCUCCUCUGACGUUAGCGGCGGACGGGUGAGUAACACGUGGAUAACCUACCUAUAAGACUGGGAUAACUUCGGGAAACCGGAGCUAAUACCGGAUAAUAUAUUGAACCGCAUGGUUCAAUAGUGAAAGACGGUUUUGCUGUCACUUAUAGAUGGAUCCGCGCCGCAUUAGCUAGUUGGUAAGGUAACGGCUUACCAAGGCGACGAUGCGUAGCCGACCUGAGAGGGUGAUCGGCCACACUGGAACUGAGACACGGUCCAGACUCCUACGGGAGGCGGCAGUAGGGAAUCUUCCGCAAUGGGCGAAAGCCCGACGGAGCAACGCCGCGUGAGUGAUGAAGGUCUUCGGAUCGUAAAACUCUGUUAUUAGGGAAGAACAAAUGUGUAAGUAACUAUGCACGUCUUGACGGUACCUAAUCAGAAAGCCACGGCUAACUACGUG